rnacentral:lncRNA from 1 species
UUUUGGGGUACAAAACCCGCCAUUAGGAAAUCCAUGCGUUAACACUACUGCCAAGGAUCCAUCUAACCCUGUCGAGGAAAAACUGGGAUGCAUGAUCUAACCAGGAGAUCACCUAGAUGCCACAGGUGUUCGAGCUAACUUUCGGACCAUCGGUCAUUUUUUUAAGUUCAUCUGGAUUUUACAGUAAUGCAUAAUGUUUUCCUUUAGUGUAGCUUUUGUUAUUCUCCAAAAUUUUAAGGCGUCAUGCGGAUAAGAUAAAUU